GACGAACGCUGGCGGCGUGCUUAACACAUGCAAGUCGAACGGAAAGGCCCUGCUUUUGUGGGGUGCUCGAGUGGCGAACGGGUGAGUAACACGUGAGUAACCUGCCCUUGACUUUGGGAUAACUUCAGGAAACUGGGGCUAAUACCGGAUAGGAGCUCCUGCUGCAUGGUGGGGGUUGGAAAGUUUCGGCGGUUGGGGAUGGACUCGCGGCUUAUCAGCUUGUUGGUGGGGUAGUGGCUUACCAAGGCUUUGACGGGUAGCCGGCCUGAGAGGGUGACCGGCCACAUUGGGACUGAGAUGCGGCCCGGACUCCUACGGGAGGCAGCAGUGGAGAAUAUUGCACAAUGGGCGGAAGCCUGAUGCAGCAACGCCGCGUGCGGGAUGACGGCCUGCGGGUUGUAAACCGCUUUCGCCUGUGACGAAGCGUGAGUGACGGUAAUGGGUAAAGAAGCACCGGCUAACUACGUG
rnacentral:rRNA from 1 species